UGCGCCUUGCCAGCCCGCUCAGAAACUUAAAGGAAUGACGGGCCCCGCACAAGCAGCGGAGCGUGUGGUUUAAUUCGAUGCUACACGAAGAACCUUACAGGGUUUGACAUACAAGUAGUAGGGAAAGGAAACUGGACCGACCCUUCGGGGAGCUUGAACAGGUGCUGCAUGGCUGUCGUCAGCUCGUGUCGUGAGAUGUUCGGUUAAGUCCGCUAACGAGCGCAACCCUCGCUGUGUGUUACAAGUGUCACACGGAACUGCCGGUCAUAAACCGGAGGAAGGUGGGGAUGACGUCAAGUCCUCAUGGCCUUUAUGACCAGGGCUACACACGUACUACAAUGGCCGAUACAAAGGGCAGCGACACUGCGAGGUGAAGCCAAUCCCGUAAAAUCGGUCUCAGUCCGGAUUGGAGUCUGCAACUCGACUCCAUGAAGUUGGAAUCGCUAGUAAUCGUGGAUCAGCAUGCCACGGUGAAUACGUUCCCGGGCCUU
rnacentral:rRNA from 1 species